rnacentral:rRNA from 1 species
AUUGAACGCUGGCGGCAGGCUUAACACAUGCAAGUCGAGCGGGGGAAGGUAGCUUGCUACCGGACCUAGCGGCGGACGGGUGAGUAAUGCUUAGGAAUCUGCCUAUUAGUGGGGGACAACGUCUCGAAAGGGAUGCUAAUACUGCAUACGUCCUACGGGAGAAAGCAGGGGAUCUUCGGACCUUGCGCUAAUAGAUGAGCCUAAGUCGGAUUAGCUAGUUGGUGGGGUAAAGGCCUACCAAGGCGACGAUCUGUAGCGGAUCUGAGAGGAUGAUCCGCCACACUGGGACUGAGACACGGCCCAGACUCCUACGGGAGGCAGCAGUGGGGAAUAUUGGACAAUGGGGGGAACCCUGAUCCAGCCAUGCCGCGUGUGUGAAGAAGGCCUUAUGGUUGUAAUGCACUUUAAGCGAGGAGGAGGCUACUUUAGUUAAUACCUAAAGAUAGUGGACGUUACUCGCAGAAUAAGCACCGGCUAACUCUGUGCCAGCCGCCGCGGUAA